UACCUACUCUUGACAUCCAGUUAGAACUAUUCCAGAGAUGGAUUGGUGCCUUCGGGAACUCUGAGACAGGAGCAUGCUGCAUGGCUGUCGUACAGCUCGUGUUGUGAAAUGUUGGGUUAAGUCCCGUAACGAGCGCAACCCUUAUCCUUAUUUGCCAGCGAGUAAUGUCGGGAACUCUAAGGAGACUGCCGGUGACAAACCGGAGGAAGGUGGGGAUGACGUCAAGUCAUCAUGGCCCUUACGAGUAGGGCUACACUACGUGCUACAAUGGCCGGUACAGAGGGCUGCAAACUCAGCGAGAGUAAGCUAAUCUCACAAAACCGGUCGUAGUCCGGAUCGCAGUCUGCAACUCGACUGCGUGAAGUCGGAAUCGCUAGUAAUCGUGAAUCAGAAUGUCACGGUGAAUACGUUCCCGGGCC
rnacentral:rRNA from 1 species